GCUUACCUAGGGCUACUGCAACCUCUACCAAUCUCUAAUUAAAAUUGGAGUCACAUAAGCACGGACUUUACCGAAGGAUUGCCAAAAUCCAGGUCCAAAGAUGUGAUGCUAGUAGUAGUGGACAUUGCAAUUAAAGUAUGCUCAUUUUGUUGUCCUCUCCCAUCCUUUUAAUACAGAUAGUACAAAUUUUGGAAGAAGAUGCAUUGUUUACAUGGCACUCCUAAGUCAAUUGUAUCUCAUACAAACAAAGAAAUUCUUGGCAGUCCUAGUUUAAAUUAUUGGGUACUCAACUACACUUUUGCACUGCCCAUUACCCUCAAAUUGAUGGCCAGACUGAGAGAGUGAAUAAGUUCAUU
rnacentral:misc_RNA from 1 species